UCCUUUGCCUCAUUUAUUUUCACUCCCUACUAUUUUCUCCACUCCCUCACACUCUCCUCCUCCACUUCCCCACGAAAAUGGUGCUCCCCUUGCUCCCAUGGCCGGCCAUGGCCAUGGCAAGCCACCAAGAUGAAGCUCUCCCUCUCCCUCAAGCUCCUCCUCACCAUGAGAGCCUCCCUCUCCUUCUUCUCCCCAACCCUAGAUGGUUUUCUCUCCUCUUCUUCUUCCUCCCUUGCUAAGAUUGGAUCUUGAUGCAGGUGCAUGUUGGUCCAAGCAUGGAGAAGCUUGAGCUAUCCUCAGAUCUGAAGUUCUUGAGCAAAGGCCAAAUCGAGUGAUUCAAAGUUCCGCGUAUAGGUAUUGAAAAGAUCUACAACUUGGCAUUGGUUUCACCCUCAAAUUCGUUACAUAUUUUCCUCGAUCAAGAUCUGGUCAGAUCUGACUUGGUCGAAUUAAAUCAGGAGCUUGGGAACGAAUUUUUGAAUGAAACAAACUGGGUUUUAAUUAGUAUCAUCCCCGUCCUUACCGCUGUCGAUCGCCAGCGUCGUCCCCUAGCCGGCACGGUACCACCUCGAUGAGUCGACAAUGGAUGUACGGUGACCGGUGCCAUCCCGAGUUCAUUACUGGCAUGCAUUAUUUUCUCAACGUGGCUGAGGCAAACAGGGGGUCGAAUGGUUUCAUGUAUUGUCCAUGUAGUUCCUGUAAGAAUAUGAAGGAUUACUCUACCUCGAAGACCCUUCACGUCCACCUGCUGGAGAAUGGUUUCAUGCCCAGCUAUAAUUGCUGGACCAAGCACGGAGAAAGAGGGGUUAUAUUGGAAGACAACGAAGAAGAAGAGGAUAGUGACAACUAUCCCUUAUUCACUGAAGACGGUGGUAGAAUGGGGGAAGACGAAGCUGAAGAAGAGCUCAUUUUCGAUGAGCCGAUUUUUGAUGACCCGGAUGACGAUUUGGGUCGGGCCAUUCUUGAUGCGAAGAUGAACUGCGGAAAUGAAAAGGAGAGGUUGAAGUUGGAGAAAAUGUUAGAGGAUCACAACAAACUAUUGUACCCAAAUUGCGAAAAUGGUCAGAAAAAGCUGGGUACCACGCUGGAAUUGC